UGGGAAUUUUGGACAAUGGGCGCAAGCCUGAUCCAGCCAUGCCGCGUGCGGGAAGAAGGCCUUCGGGUUGUAAACCGCUUUUGUCAGGGAAGAAAUCUUCUGAGUUAAUACCUCGGGAGGAUGACGGUACCUGAAGAAUAAGCACCGGCUAACUACGUGCCAGCAGCCGCGGUAAUACGUAGGGUGCAAGCGUUAAUCGGAAUUACUGGGCGUAAAGCGUGCGCAGGCGGUUUUGUAAGACAGAGGUGAAAUCCCCGGGCUCAACCUGGGAACUGCCUUUGUGACUGCAAGGCUUGAGUGCGGCAGAGGGGGAUGGAAUUCCGCGUGUAGCAGUGAAAUGCGUAGAUAUGCGGAGGAACACCGUGGCGAAGGCAAUCCCCUGGGCCUGCACUGACGCUCAUGCACGAAAGCGUGGGGAGC
rnacentral:rRNA from 1 species